rnacentral:rRNA from 1 species
ACUUACCUUUAUGUCUUUUUAAAGGCACCAAAUUCCAUCCAAUCUUGGAAGCUAAGCAGAUCCAGCCAUGGCUAGUUCUUGAGUGGGAGACCACUAAUAAAUACCAAGUGCUAUAGGUU